AGGCCCCGCCGCCGCCGCCGGCUGACGGGCGUCUUACCAGGCAAAGUUAGAUCUGGGUCCUUCUGUCUAAUACUGUCUGGUAAUGCCGCCCGUCGCAUGGCCGUGACACCUGGGAAUGG
rnacentral:pre_miRNA from 15 species